UACGUAGGGGGCAAGCGUUGUCCGGAUUUAUUGGGCGUAAAGCGCUCGCAGGUGGUUCGAUGCGUCGUGCGUGAAAGACCCCGGCUCAACUGGGGAGUGUCGUGCGAUACGGUCGGACUGGAGGCCAGUAGGGGGAUGCGGAAUUCCGGGUGUAGUGGUGGAAUGCGUAGAGAUCCGGAGGAACACCAGCGGCGAAGGCGGCAUCCUGGACCAAUAUUGACGCUGAGGAGCGAAAGCUAGGGGAGCAAACGGG
rnacentral:rRNA from 1 species